AUGGCCGGAAUUGUCAACAAGGAGUUUGCUGAGUUGGCCCAGACGGGGAUGAACUACCUGUCAUGGGCCUCGGACUGUGAGAUCUUUCUCCAGGGCAAAACCCUCCUGAGGGCGAUCGGUAAGGGGACCCCGCUGGCCCCCACUGAUCCCAAGUUCGAAACCGAGAAUGCGCAGGCUCUGCAUUUUCUCCGUCAUCACCUGUCACCUACUCUGAAAGAUGAGUAUAUGGCUGAGCGGAGUGCUUCUGGCCUUUGGACCGCUCUUAAGCAGCGGUUUGAGCGGUUGAAGUACACUGUGAAGCCACGUGUAGAGGUAGAGUGGAUCCGUCUGAGGUUUGCAGACUUCAAGACAAAGAUUGAGAAAACCCUAUCCACUUUCCACCCUGACGCGGUCCUGUCCACACGGAACUACCGCCAGGGCAACUACACAAGGAAUUCAGAGUUGAUUGAUGUCCUCCAGGUGGCAGAGGCGCAGGACGAGGUUCUGAAAAAGAACUUUGUCGCGCAACCACUUGGGGGGAGUUCUCGCCAGGAGGUGAACGCUCUCAAAGUCCGCAAGCCUCAACAGAAGAAGAGGGGCCGCAAGGCGGCUAAGCAGCAAAAGCCGGGCAAGGGGGGGCAGAGGCCUCAGGACUGCUUCCGGUGUGGCUCGGUGGAGCAUUUCUCCCGCCAGUGCCGCGCACCACAGGAGGUCGUUGAUGCAUAUAAGGCUCGGAAGGCGCGUGAGACACACCUCGCCUUGGUUCAGGAGGGAGCACCACCGGCGCCCAUGGCGGCACCCGUGAUGAUCUCUACGCCCCCUGCUGCGCCCAUCACGGCGACCCCCGUGGUGCCCAUCGCGACGGCUUUGGCGGUCUCUAGUGACGCCAACGUUGCCAUGGAGGUUGACCACGUGGUCGCCUCGGCGGUGCCGCAACUAGAUGUUGAUGCUGCCUCCAAGAUGGUUUCUAAGGAGGAUCAGCUCACUAGUAUGGAGAUUGCUGCUGAGGUUAAUGGCUUCUUCACCGAGUCUACUUAG
rnacentral:rRNA from 1 species